GACACGGUCCAAACUCCUACGGGAGGCAGCAGUGAGGAAUAUUGGUCAAUGGGCGAGAGCCUGAACCAGCCAAGUAGCGUGAAGGAUGACUGCCCUAUGGGUUGUAAACUUCUUUUAUAAAGGAAUAAAGUCGGGUAUGCAUACCCGUUUGCAUGUACUUUAUGAAUAAGGAUCGGCUAACUCCGUGCCAGCAGCCGCGGUAAUACGGAGGAUCCGAGCGUUAUCCGGAUUUAUUGGGUUUAAAGGGAGCGUAGAUGGAUGUUUAAGUCAGUUGUGAAAGUUUGCGGCUCAACCGUAAAAUUGCAGUUGAUACUGGAUAUCUUGAGUGCAGUUGAGGCAGGCGGAAUUCGUGGUGUAGCGGUGAAAUGCUUAGAUAUCACGAAGAACUCCGAUUGCGAAGGCAGCCUGCUAAGCUGCAACUGACAUUGAGGCUCGAAAGUGUGGGUAUCAAACAGGAUUAGAUACCCUGGUAGUCCACACGGUAAACGAUGAAUACUCGCUGUUUGCGAUAUACGGCAAGCGGCCAAGCGAAAGCGUUAAGUAUUCCACCUGGGGAGUACGCCGGCAACGGUGAAACUCAAAGGAAUUGACGGGGGCCCGCACAAGCGGAGGAACAUGUGGUUUAAUUCGAUGAUACGCGAGGAACCUUACCCGGGCUUAAAUUGCAGAUGAAUUACGGUGAAAGCCGUAAGCCGCAAGGCAUCUGUGAAGGUGCUGCAUGGUUGUCGUCAGCUCGUGCCGUGAGGUGUCGGCUUAAGUGCCAUAACGAGCGCAACCCUUGUUGUCAGUUACUAACAGGUUCCGCUGAGGACUCUGACAAGACUGCCAUCGUAAGAUGUGAGGAAGGUGGGGAUGACGUCAAAUCAGCACGGCCCUUACGUCCGGGGCUACACACGUGUUACAAUGGGGGGUACAGAAGGCAGCUACACGGCGACGGGAUGCUAAUCCCGAAAGCCUCUCUCAGUUCGGAUUGGAGUCUGCAACCCGACUCCAUGAAGCUGGAUUCGCUAGUAAUCGCGCAUCAGCCACGGCGCGGUGAAUACGUUCCCGGGCCUUGUACACACCGCCCGUCAAGCCAUGGGAGCCGGGGGUACCUGAAGUGCGUAACCGCGAGGAGCGCCCUAGGGUAAAACUGGUGACUGGGGCUAAGUCGUAACAAGGUAGCCGUACCGGAAGGUGCGGCUG
rnacentral:rRNA from 1 species